rnacentral:rRNA from 1 species
UCGACGAUGAAUCUUCUAGCUUGCUAGAAGUGGAUUAGUGGCGCACGGGUGAGUAAUGCAUAGGUUAUGUGCCCUUUAGUCUGGGAUAGCCACUGGAAACGGUGAUUAAUACUGGAUACUCCCUACGGGGGAAAGUUUUUCGCUAAAGGAUCAGCCUAUGUCCUAUCAGCUUGUUGGUGAGGUAAUGGCUCACCAAGGCUAUGACGGGUAUCCGGCCUGAGAGGGUGAUCGGACACACUGGAACUGAGACACGGUCCAGACUCCUACGGGAGGCAGCAGUAGGGAAUAUUGCUCAAUGGGGGAAACCCUGAAGCAGCAACGCCGCGUGGAGGAUGAAGGUUUUAGGAUUGUAAACUCCUUUUGUUAGAGAAGAUUAUGACGGUAUCUAACGAAUAAGCACCGGCUAACUCCGUGCCAGCAGCCGCGGUAAUACGGAGGGUGCAAGCGUUACUCGGAAUCACUGGGCGUAAAGAGUGCGUAGGCGGGGUAAUAAGUCAGAUGUGAAAUCCUGUAGCUUAACUACAGAACUGCAUUUGAAACUGUUACUCUGGAGUGUGGGAGAGGUAGGUGGAAUUCUUGGUGUAGGGGUAAAAUCCGUAGAGAUCAAGAGGAAUACUCAUUGCGAAGGCGACCUGCUGGAACAUUACUGACGCUGAUGCACGAAAGCGUGGGGAGCAAACAGGAUUAGAUACCCUGGUAGUCCACGCCCUAAACGAUGGAUGCUAGUUGUUGCCUUGCUUGUCAGGGCAGUAAUGCAGCUAACGCAUUAAGCAUCCCGCCUGGGGAGUACGGUCGCAAGAUUAAAACUCAAAGGAAUAGACGGGGACCCGCACAAGCGGU